ACCUCUUACUCUGAACGUGUCGCUUCAAAACGAAGACAAAACAAUACACCCUGCACAUGAUUCUACCUUACAUUAUUAACUCUUAACUCCUUCUAUUUUAUUUAUUUAUUAUUUCUUUAGAACCAACCAAAGAAACCAAACUUAGGAACCAAACUUGGGAUUUAAAGGGGGAAUCUUUCGAAGCAUUAUUGGCUUCCGUAGUCUCACGUGUCUUCUUGAUACCUAACAUGCUUCCUGGGUUUUGUUAACACAAGGACCAUUGGAAACUGCGGGUAAUGAUUGAUGAUAUGGCUGGGGAGGUUGAAGAAUCAUUCAGCAUUAACUUUCAGGCCAAUUCUAUACAUUCGG